AGUGAACGCUGGCGGUAGGCCUAACACAUGCCAGUCGAACGGCAGCACAGUAAGAGCUUGCUCUUACGGGUGGCGAGUGGCGGACGGGUGAGGAAUACAUCGGAAUCUACUUUUUCGUGGGGGAUAACGUAGGGAAACUUACGCUAAUACCGCAUACGACCUACGGGUGAAAGCAGGGGAUCUUCGGACCUUGCGCGAUUGAAUGAGCCGAUGUCGGAUCAGCUAGUUGGCGGGGUAAAGGCCCACCAAGGCGACGAUCCGUAGCUGGUCUGAGAGGAUGAUCAGCCACACUGGAACUGAGACACGGUCCAGACUCCUACGGGAGGCAGCAGUGGGGAAUAUUGGACAAUGGGCGCAAGCCUGAUCCAGCCAUACCGCGUGGGUGAAGAAGGCCUUCGGGUUGUAAAGCCCUUUUGUUGGGAAAGAAAAGCAGCAGGUUAAUACCCCGCUGUUCUGACGGUACCCAAAGAAUAAGCACCGGCUAACUUCGUG
rnacentral:rRNA from 1 species